rnacentral:rRNA from 1 species
UCGUAAACCAGGUUUCCGUAGGUGAACCUGCGG